GGAUAGCUCUGUUGGUAAAGAAUGAGACUCUUAAUCUCAGGGUCGUGGGAUUGAGCCCCAUGUUGGACA
rnacentral:tRNA from 1 species